rnacentral:rRNA from 1 species
UGGCGGACGGGUGAGUAACGCGUGGGUAACCGUGCCUCACACUGGGGGACAACAGUUAGAAAUGACUGCUAAUACCGCAUAAGCGCACAGGACCGCAUGGUCCGGUGUGAAAAACUCCGGUGGUGUGAGAUGGACCCGCGUUUGAUUAGCUAGUUGGUGGGGUAACGGCCUACCAAGGCGACGAUCAAUAGCCGACCUGAGAGGGUGACCGGCCACAUUGGGACUGAGACACGGCCCGA